UAUAAAAUUAAAAAAGGACUUUUAACCUUACCCUAUUUCUCUUUCCUCCCAUCAGCGUCGUUAUCUCUCUGAAUCCUUGUACCGCAUAUUCUCCUUCAAUAUUUUCGAACUAACAAACGGGAGAGAAUGCAUCCUAAGUAUCUUCUUUACAUAUUUAUUGUUUUUCGGUCUCAAGCUUCAGAUCGUGUCUAAUCCGACUCAGAAGCAGUAAUUGGCAUGAUGGUUGGCUGAUAUUCUGUAAUAGCAAUGGAGAAAUUUUGAAGAUUUGAGACAGUCAUCUUGUGUCUUCUGUUUAGCUGCAUACAAAGGGUGAUGUAGUUUGGUGAUGGAGUUUCCUGAAUGAGGUGACGUUGUUGCAGUUAACAGAAAGCCUAAAGUGGUCAUUCUCCUGCUUCCUCCUCAUCUGAGUCGCAACGCAAAGCUUUAAGAGCGUAUUCAUCAGUUGGAGGCUAUAUUGCUUAGACUCUUCAAGAAUGUCAAUGGGUGCGUAUCAGAUUCUUCAAAAGUAGUGCAUCUAAAGUGAAGAUAUCAACUAUGGACCUAACGACACUAUAGCAGUGGUAUACAACUUUGGACCUAACAGCCCGAAUAGUAACAUUUCGAAAUGAAGGAUUAUAAAUGUAUUCAAAAUUUGUAUUAUUGUAUGAAGAAAAAAUAUCCUAAAUAUAAAAGAUUGUAUGUAAUGUAAUACAUGUCCAGAUCUUUGUA